GUGCUCGCUUCCGCCGCACAUAUACUAAAAUUGGAACAUACAGAGAAGAUGAGCAUGGCCCCUGCGCAAGGAUGACACGCCAAUUCGGAAGCGUUCCAUAUUUUU
ensembl:snRNA U6 U6 spliceosomal RNA